rnacentral:sRNA from 1 species
CACACCCCAAAAAACAACAUAAUGAAAAACCGACAAUCCUAAACAAAGUAAAACCUGAGUUAUCUAAAAACAAAUUUGAAUAAAACUCAGGACAAAAUGUUCACUUAAAAAUCAGCGAAUAGCUUUGCGCAAAGCCAAAAAGAAAUGUACAAAUUGCAAACACCAAAAAAUGUAGAACCUAAACUAUAACAAUUCCAAAACUAAAGCCAAACUUUUUUUUUAUCACAAAGAAAAAAAAAAAGUGUCUCAAACUUCCUACGCUGCAGCGUAUGGUAAAUUACGUAGCAAACCAGCUGAAGUUGAGAUUAAUCUUGCUUCAAUAUUGAACGAGCCGAUAAGGAACAUAUUUCCAAUCCAAUCAGCCAGAGAAAGAAGCUUACUUUUUGAUAUCUACCCAAUUCAUCAUUAAAAAGU